rnacentral:rRNA from 1 species
ACACCGAGAGUGCAAGCGUUAAUCGGAAUUACUGGGCGUAAAGCGCGCGUAGGCGGAUACUUAAGUCGGAUGUGAAAGCCCUGAGCUCAACUCAGGAACUGCAUUCGAUACUGGGUGUCUAGAGUAUGGUAGAGGGAAGUGGAAUUUCCGGUGUAGCGGUGAAAUGCGUAGAUAUCGGAAGGAACAUCAGUGGCGAAGGCGACUUCCUGGAUCAAUACUGACGCUGAGGUGCGAAAGCGUGGGGAGCAAACAGGAUUAGAUACCCGAGUAGUCC